GACGAACGCUGGCGGCGUGCCUAAUACAUGCAAGUUGAGCGAUGAAGAUUGGUGCUUGCACCAAUUUGAAGAGCAGCGAACGGGUGAGUAACGCGUGGGGAAUCUGCCUUUGAGCGGGGGACAACAUUUGGAAACGAAUGCUAAUACCGCAUAACAACUUUAAACAUAAGUUUUAAGUUUGAAAGAUGCAAUUGCUUCACUCAAAGAUGAUCCCGCGUUGUAUUAGCUAGUUGGUGAGGUAAAGGCUCACCAAGGCGAUGAUACAUAGCCGACCUGAGAGGGUGAUCGGCCACAUUGGGACUGAGACACGGCCCAAACUCCUACGGGAGGCAGCAGUAGGGAAUCUUCGGCAAUGGACGAAAGUCUGACCGAGCAACGCCGCGUGAGUGAAGAAGGUUUUCGGAUCGUAAAACUCUGUUGGUAGAGAAGAACGUUGGUGAGAGUGGAAAGCUCAUCAAGUGACGGUAACUACCCAGAAAGGGACGGCUAACUACGUG
rnacentral:rRNA from 1 species